ensembl:miRNA gga-mir-7469 gga-mir-7469
UUUGCAAUGCAAUUUUACAGUAGACCUUAGAAGUGAGGACAGUCUUUGUGUGCUUGCAUUGCAAAGG